AUUGAACGCUGGCGGCAUGCUUUACACAUGCAAGUCGAACGGUAACAGGGUGCUUGCACCGCUGACGAGUGGCGAACGGGUGAGUAAUGCGUCGGAACGUGCCGAGUAGUGGGGGAUAACGCAGCGAAUGUUGUGCUAAUACCGCAUACGUACUGAGGUAGAAAGUGGGGGACCUUCGGGCCUCACGCUAUUCGAGCGGCCGACGUCUGAUUAGCUAGUAGGUGAGGUAAAGGCUCACCUAGGCGACGAUCAGUAGCGGGGCUGAGAGGAUGAUCCGCCACACUGGGAGUGAGACACGGCCCAGACUCCUACGGGAGGCAGCAGUGGGGAAUUUUGGACAAUGGGCGAAAGCCUGAUCCAGCCAUGCCGCGUGUCUGAAGAAGGCCUUCGGGUUGUAAAGGACUUUUGUCAGGGAGGAAAUCCCUAGUGCUAAUAACACUGGGGGAUGACAGUACCUGAAGAAUAAGCACCGGCUAACUACGUGCCAGCCGCCGCCGUAA
rnacentral:rRNA from 1 species